GACGAACGCUGGCGGCGUGCUUAACACAUGCAAGUCGAACGGAAAGGCCCUUCGGGGUACUCGAGUGGCGAACGGGUGAGUAACACGUGGGUGAUCUGCCCUGCACUCUGGGAUAAGCCUGGGAAACUGGGUCUAAUACCGGAUAUGAUCAUGCGCCUCAUGGUGUGUGGUGGAAAGCUUUUGCGGUGUGGGAUGGGCCCGCGGCCUAUCAGCUUGUUGGUGGGGUAAUGGCCUACCAAGGCGACGACGGGUAGCCGGCCUGAGAGGGUGACCGGCCACACUGGGACUGAGAUACGGCCCAGACUCCUACGGGAGGCAGCAGUGGGGAAUAUGGCACAAUGGGCGCAAGCCUGAUGCAGCGACG
rnacentral:rRNA from 1 species